rnacentral:miRNA from 1 species
GGGGUGAGAGAACGUGGCUCUUAGCUCCCCCAGCCGGACCCCUGCCCCCCAGGCCAAGCCCAUCCCUGCCCCAG